GAUGAACGCUGGCGGCGUGCCUAAUACAUGCAAGUCGAGCGAACGGACGAGAAGCUUUCUUCUCUGCUGUUAGCGGCGGACGGGUGAGUAACACGUGGAUAACCUACCUAUAAGACUGGGAUAAUUUCGGGAAACCGGAGCUAAUACCGGAUAAUAUUUUGAACCGCAUGGUUCAAAAGUUCAAGACGGUUUUGCUGUCACUUAUAGCUGGAUCCGCGCUGCAUUAGCUAGUUGGUAAGGUAACGGCUUACCAAGGCAACGAUGCAUAGCCGACCUGAGAGGGUGAUCGGCCACACUGGAACUGAGACACGGUCCAGACUCCUACGGGAGGCAGCAGUAGGGAAUCUUCCACAAUGGGCGAAAGCCUGACGGAGCAACGCCGCGUGAGUGAUGAAGGUCUUCGGAUCGUAAAACUCUGUUAUUAGGGAAGAAAAUAUGUGUAAGUAACUGUGCACAUCUUGACAGUACCUAAUCAGAAAGCCACGGCUAACUACGUG
rnacentral:rRNA from 1 species